AACCAUAUUAGAAAUGUUUUAUUGUUGUAAAAGUGAAGGGCGAACAGUGUAGAAUGAAUAUAGAUGCCUAAACCAAGAGGCUACUGUAGAGGAUAUUGCAGGGUAAGGAGAUUAGCAGGAACAACAGUAAUAGAAUUGAGUAAUGGAAGCAGGAAUUAGUGCAUGCUCUUCGUUUAUAAGAUGCACAAUGAAUUUAAACCAAGCAAAUUUUAGCAGUAGUAGCUUAAAGCUCUCAUGACUCGUGAGUAGCAGGGCACAAAGAAGGAAAGAUGCACGACAGCCAUUUGGAAAUCCAAUCAUCAGUUUCAUUUUCUAGCCAGAACUCAACAAAAGUUUCCCAGUAGAACUCAGGAGUUAUAAGCUGCUGCUUAUUUGAUGUUUCUAGGCCUUAAUCUUUUCCUCUAUUUGGUCAUCCAAGUGGUUCCUUUUUAUUUAUUGCAUCUUCCCCCAGGGGGGCGGGGGUUGCCAAGGGAGAGAACCUAUCAACUCUGGAAUGACGCUAACAUAAUUCAGGCAUCCCAGGUAAUCCAGUCUUAUGGUUCAUCAUUAUCUGCAUAUGGCCUUUUUUUCCUCUCCUUACCUUAUGCGUAAUCUAACAGAGUAAUUAUCUUGUGAUCAAGGAAUACCACCGACAUAUCACAUGUUGAUUAGCUAUGUUAAAAUUUUCAAAAAAGAAUUAGAUUCUACAGUUCCCCUCAAAUUCCAGUACGGUGAAAUAAUGAGAUGGUUGUACUGAAUUUGUAGCUGAUAACUUUAGAGGCUCACUGUAUCAUGCAGCAAAGAUCUGAAGUGAAGCAAUGACCUACUGCAUUGCAGUGCUCCAGUGUCAAUGCAUGAUUUGCCUAUUAUGUUAGUUUGAUGAUGCAGUUUAUUUUUCAUAUGUUUUGUGCAGGGCAUCAGCCAUAUUCCAAGUUCUAAAUUCUUAAACAGUACAGUGAAAGAAAAUAGUAUUGCGAACCUCUACAAGUGAAUGAGAAAUUUAUACCCCCUUCUGAAGCUUUGCUUCUUGUUUUAAAUUUGCAUUCUUU
rnacentral:lncRNA from 1 species